rnacentral:rRNA from 1 species
AGUGGCGGACGGGUGAGUAACGCGUGGGUAACCUGCCUCAUACAGGGGGAUAACAGUUAGAAAUGACUGCUAAUACCGCAUAAGACCACAGCACCGCAUGGUGCAGGGGUAAAAACUCCGGUGGUAUGAGAUGGACCCGCGUCUGAUUAGGUAGUUGGUGGGGUAACGGCCUACCAAGCCGACGAUCAGUAGCCGGCCUGAGAGGGUGACCGGCCACAUUGGGACUGAGACACGGCCCAA